rnacentral:rRNA from 1 species
CGGACGGGUGAGUAACGCGUGAACAAUCUGCCUAUGUCAGGGGAAUAACGCUGAGAAAUCGGCGCUAAUACCGCAUAAGACCACGGAAGGGCAUCCUUCAGAGGUAAAAGAUUUAUCGGACAUAGAUGAGUUCGCGUCCCAUUAGGUAGUUGGUGAGGUAACGGCCCACCAAGCCGACGAUGGGUAGCCGACCUGAGAGGGUGAUCGGCCACAUUGGAACUGAGAGACGGUCCAGACUCCUACGGAAGGCAGCAG